rnacentral:rRNA from 1 species
GGUACGUCGUAUAGCCUGGUCGUGCAGUCGAGCGAAUGGAUUGAGAGCUUGCUCUCAUGAAGUUAGCGGCGGACGGGUGAGUAACACGUGGGUAACCUGCCCAUAAGACUGGGAUAACUCCGGGAAACCGGGGCUAAUACCGGAUAACAUUUUGAACUGCAUGGUUCGAAAUUGAAAGGCGGCUUCGGCUGUCACUUAUGGAUGGACCCGCGUCGCAUUAGCUAGUUGGUGAGGUAACGGCUCACCAAGGCAACGAUGCGUAGCCGACCUGAGAGGGUGAUCGGCCACACUGGGACUGAGACACGGCCCAGACUCCUACGGGAGGCAGCAGUAGGGAAUCUUCCGCAAUGGACGAAAGUCUACGGGAAGUCAAACGUCUGCAUGAUGUGGAUGAUGACUUUCCGGUCGGUAAAACUCUGUUGUUAGGGAUGAUCAAGUGCUAGUUUGAAUAAGCUGGCACUUUGACUGGUACCUAACCAGAAAGACAGCGGCUAUCUACGUGCCAGCAGCGGCGGUAAUACGUAGGUGGCUAGCGUUAUCCGGGAAAUUAUUGGGCGUAAAGCGCGCGCAGGUGGUUUAAUUAAGUCUGAUGUGAAAGUCCCACGGCUCAACCGUGGAGGGUCAUUAGGAAACUGGGAAGACUUGAGUGCAGAAGAGGAAAGUGGAAGUUCCAUGUGUAGCGGUGAAAUGCGUAGAGAUAUGGAGGAACACCAGUGGCGAAGGCGACUUUCUGGUCUGUAACUGACACUGAGGCGCGAAAGCGUGGGGAGCAAACAGGAUUAGAUACCCUGGUAGUGCACGGCCGUAAACGAUGAGUGCUAAGUGUUAGAGGGUUUCCGCCCUUUAGUGCUGAAGUUAACGCAUUAAGCACUCCGCCUCGGGGAGUACUGCCGCAAGGCUGAAACUCAAACGGAAUUGACCGGGGGCGCGACACAAGCGGGUGGAGCAUGUGGUUUAAGUUCGAAGUCAACGCGCAGAAUCUUAGCAGGUCUUGACAUGCUCUGAACACCCUAGAGAUACGGCCUCUCCUUCGGGAGCAGAUCGACAGCUGAGUCAUGGGUGUCGUCAGCCUCGUGUUCGUGAGUAUGUUAGGAUAAGCUCCCGCAUCGCACGCCCAGCCCCUUGAUUCAUUAGUUGCCUAUCAUUAAGUUGGGCAGCUCUAAGGUGAGUCCCGGUGACAAACCGGAGGAAGGUGGGGAUGACGUCAAAUCAUCAUGCCCCUUAUGACCUGGGCUACACACGUGCUACAAUGGACGGUACAAAGAGCUGCAAGACCGCGAGGUGGAGCUAAUCUCAUAAAACCGUUCUCAGUUCGGAUUGUAGGCUGCAACUCGCCUACAUGAAGCUGGAAUCGCUAGUAAUCGCGGAUCAGCAUGCCGCGGUGAAUACGUUCCCGGGCCUUGUACACACCGCCCGUCACACCACGAGAGUUUGUAACACCCGAAGUCGGUGGGGUAACCUUUUUGGAGCCAGCCGCCUAUACGGUGGGUACAGAUGAUUGGGGCUAAGUCGAGACAGUGCAGACACC